GGUUGUAUAGCUCAGUUGGUAGAGCGUUCGCGGGUAUAUUACCCUCGAAAGGUCGCAGGUUCAAGUCCUGCUACAACCA
rnacentral:tRNA from 1 species